GUACCUUUGCAACCGCUUUCGAGAGGGAGAGCCGCUGAGAAUGACAGACUGGUAAAGAGAGGCAGACUUUCAAAGGCGCUGCACCCGAGUAUCUUACCUUGCAAGACGGCAAGGGAGCGAGAAACGGAUAAGCCCCGCGAGGUCAUCCCGAGAAACUUUUUCGAAAAAAACUUUCGGAAAAAUUUGGAGGGAAAGAAAAAACGCCUUACCUUUGCAAACGCUUUCCCGCUGAAACGGGAGCACGAAAGAAAGAUAGUUCUUUGAAAGACUUUAGAUAAACAAACGAAGAUGUAGUACAAGAAGUAGUCUUAUAUAUAAUGUAUAUAUGGGAUGAAACAAGAACCGUCAAUAACCUGAAAAGGAUAUAGAAAUCGGUUUCCUGGAACAGAAUCAACAAUACCCGCAAGGGUAAGAAAAUAUUUUACAAUGAAGAGUUUGAUCCUGGCUCAGGAUGAACGCUAGCUACAGGCUUAACACAUGCAAGUCGAGGGGCAGCAUGAACUUAGCUUGCUAAGUUUGAUGGCGACCGGCGCACGGGUGAAUAACGCGUAUCCAACCUUCCGCUUACUCGGGGAUAGCCUUUCGAAAGAAAGAUUAAUACCCGAUGGUAUCUUAAGCGCACAUGCAAAUAAGAUUAAAGAUUUAUCGGUAAGCGAUGGGGAUGCGUUCCAUUAGAUAGUAGGCGGGGUAACGGCCCACCUAGUCGACGAUCUGGAGCGUAUGGAAAAGCAAAUGUAGGUAUAAGUAACGAUAAAGGGGGUGGGAAACCCCCUCGCCGAAAGACUAAGGUUUCCUGAUCAACGCUAAUCGGAUCAGGGUAAGUCGGGUCCUAAGGCUCAGCCGAACGGCGAGGCCGAUGGCAGAAACGGUUAAUAUUCCGUUACUACCUUUGAGGGUGACGUGGGGAAGCAGCAGUGACACCGCCGCCGGCUGACGGAAUAGCCGGUUGAAGGGUGUAGGCGCCGAUUUCCGCAGGCAAAUCCACGGAAAGAGCCGAACCUGAUAGUACGCCAACUCCUUCGGGAAGCGGCGAUAGCGCGGGUAAGCAGACUGCCGAGAAAAUCCGCUAAACAUAACUUCAGAGGUACCCGUACCGCAAACGGACACACGUAGUCGGGUUGAAUAUACUAAGGCGCUUGAGUGAAUCACGGUUAAGGAACUAGGCAAACUGACCCUGUAACUUCGGGAUAAAGGGUCCCUCCUCGCAAGAGAGGGCGCAGAGAAUAGGUCCAGGCAACUGUUUAACAAAAACACAGGGCUGUGCGAAUAUGAAAGUAGAAGUAUACAGCCUGACACCUGCCCGGUGCUGGAAGGUUAAGAGGAGAUGUCAUCGCAAGAGAAGCAUUGAAUUGAAGCCCCAGUAAACGGCGGCCGUAACUAUAACGGUCCUAAGGUAGCGAAAUUCCUUGUCGGGUAAGUUCCGACCUGCACGAAUGGUGUAAUGAUCCGGACGCUGUCUCAACCGUGAGCUCAGUGAAAUUGUAGUAUCGGUGAAGAUGCCGAUUACCCGCGAUGGGACGAAAAGACCCCGUGAACCUUUACUAUAGCUUAGCAUUGAAUUUGGGCACGCGAUGUGUAGGAUAGGUCGGAGGCUGAGAGACGGGCACGCCAGUGUUCGUGGAGCCGCUGUUGAAAUACGACCCUUCGUUUGUUUGAGUUCUAACUCC
rnacentral:rRNA from 1 species